AUUGAACGCUGGCGGCAGGCCUAACACAUGCAAGUCGAGCGAGCGGCGGACGGGUGAGUAAUGUCUGGGAAACUGCCUGAUGGAGGGGGAUAACUUCUGGAAACGGUAGCUAAUACCGCAUACCAUCAGAUGUGCCCAGAUGGGAUUAGCUUGUAGCUGGGGUAACGGCUCACCGAGGCGACGAUCCCUAGCUGGUCUGAGAGGAUGAACAUCCACUCUGGAACGGAGACACGGUCCAGAAUCCUACGUGAGGCAGCAGUGGGGAAUAUUGCACAAGGGGCGCAAUCCUGAUGCAGCCAUGACGCGUGUGUGAAGAAGGCCUGCGGGUUGUAAAGCACUUUCAGCGGGGAGGCGUGACCCGCAGAAGAAGCACCGGCUAACUCCGUGCCAGCAGCCGCGGUAAUAC
rnacentral:rRNA from 1 species